rnacentral:rRNA from 1 species
GCCUAAAGGGGCCGUAGCUUGAUAAUAGGGUCCCUUGAGAAAUCCGCCGGCUUAACUGGCGGGCGUUCAGGGGAAACUUGUUUUCUAGGGACCGGGAGAGGUGAGGGGUACUGCCGGGGUAGGAGUGAAAUCCUGUAAUCCCGGUGGGACCACCUAUGGCGAAGGCAUCUCACCAGAACGGGUCCGACAGUGAGGGACGAAAGCUGGGGGAGCAAACCGGAUUAGAUACCCGGGUAGUCCCAGCUGUAAACUAUGUGCGUUAGGUGUGUCAGUGACCACGUGUCACUGAGGUGCCGAAGGGAAACCGUGAAACGCACCGCCUGGGGAGUACGGUCGCAAGGCUGAAACGUAAAGGAAUUGGCGGGGGAGCACCACAACGGGUGGAGCCUGCGGUUUAAUCGGACUCAACGCCGGGAAUCUCACCGGAUAAGACAGCUGAAUGAUAGUCGGGAUGAAGACUCUACUUGACUAGCUGAGAGGAGGUGCAUGGCCGUCGUCAGUUCGUACUGUGAAGCAUCCUGUUUAGUCAGGCAACGAGCGAGACCCACGCGAGCAGUUGCCAGCUUGACCUUCGGGUUGAUGGGGACACUGCUCGGACCGCCUCUGCUAAAGGGGAGGAAGGACUGGGCAACGGUAGGUCAGCAUGCCCCGAAUUAUCCGGGCUACACGCGGGCUACAAUGGACAGGACAAUGAGUUUCGACACCGAGAGGUGAGGAUAAUCUUCUAACCCUGUCCCAAGUUCGGAUUGCGGGUUGUAACUCACCCGCAUGAAGCUGGAAUCCGUAGUAAUCGCGUUUCAACAUACCGCGGAGAGUAUGUCCCUGCUCCUUGCACACACCGCCCGUAA